GACAGCGAUUUCACUGACUUCAGUACUCAACAAAGCACCUUUCUAAACCAGUACAAUAAUAUCCAACAGUGACUUCACUUACACCAACUACGGCGAAUUACCACAGGACAGAUUUAAAUUUCGAGCCUCUUAUCGAAUGUAUUGAGGUCUAUCGACACAACUAUCCACUUCCGGGAGUUUGCAGACACGUGACUCCGUAGGAGGGAGUCUGCCUUCGCGCUCGUGUCCCUCCUCUUUGUGUACACUUCAGCCAAUCAUUGCAUGCAGCCGUCAUCGCAAAUCCCAAAAAGGUGGAACUUCCAAAAUAAACCAUCGCCCACGACAGGCGGAGCUGCUACACCAGCCCGGGAUUCCUUCUUCCAGCCCGGGUGGAGGAUUCAGCAGCGACCCUCCCAGGAAGUCAAUGAGCGUCACUGCUGAGGUGGGAACGCCAUAGUCAGGCCAGCUGAGUGAAAGGUUCCGGGCGGCGGUUCUUUGCGGAGCUCCUCAUACUCUUGAUGGAUUCCUGAGCGCUGAAGCCUGCCGAGGUAUGUCAGCAGCUCCUGCGGGCGCAUGGACUCCGGUCCGGGGACAUGAAUGGAAGC